UCCUGUGCAGGAUGAACACACGGGGGAUUGAAUUAGAUGAAGCGGAAAGAAACAUCUUAAGCCUCUUUCCAAUAGCACCAAUUAGCCAAUGGUUACUUUUUCUUCAGACUACUUGUAGUAAGCCUUAGAUAGGUGAUCUUCAUCUUAAGGAAAACGCUUUGCCCUUAAAAUAUCUCUUGAACAUAAUCUAUUAUACUUACUUUAUAGAGGACGCUUAUCCAUAGGGGAAGUUUCAGAUCCAGAGCCGUUUAGUGCAAAAUAAUCUCAAAUGUCAAUAAUCUCAGCAAAUUUAGGCAAGUGAUUAGUCAUAGCUUUGAGCAGCUGAUCAGGAUUAGUUGGGCACACGAAUACCUCCUCACAAUUUGUUAAUAAGAAAUUCAAACAUAUUAAUUCAAAGUGACAGUGGUGUGGAGGUGCUGUCAGAUAUCAAGGAAGGUGGGUCCAAUUUUGGUAUUGAUGGCCGUUAUUGAUACUCUCCAACUUCCGGGUGGGAUUAACUUCUGGCCCGCAGCCAAUGCAACUUGAGGUGUAAUUUGCGUUUUGAGAAGCUUAGGUUCAUGGCUAUGACAACGCACGCGCAUAAGCCAACACUGGAUAUUUGGUGACGUCAACAAGAUUCCAUAAUGGCGCCUACUCUGAGAGACGCCAUACAUGAUCCUUUCUUAGCUCAUUUCAGCGCCUGGAAGUGUCCUUGUCCAGUAGCACCUUCAGAAGCUUGUUGCAUAACAAUGCAAAUUAAGGAGAGUGUAAAAAUAUGAGGUCUUUGUAACUUACGCGAGUGAUUCAAAGGUGGAACUUUUGAAGUUCGGAGUGAUUCAGUUUCAGCGCGAAUAUCUUUACGACCACGUGUCAUAUAUUUUGAAAAAUAAGCUGUCUGAUGGAAAAGCAAAUUGCUUCAAACUAUAAAGACGCCAGUUGUGUGGCAAUAUGAUGACGAAAACAGGAACGUUUCAGAUAUACAAGAGAACGGUACUUCGAAAGGAAGUUUUUGAACUCCAUUUCAAUCUGAAAACAAAGAGGUGCUUCUCGAUAACGGUCCUCGGCUUGUGGAAAAUCUUUACACCGUUUUUGGCGUCUGUAUAGCUACGUGAUUAUUAAAGUUCUAAUCGUGAGAGCUUCUAUCGUUAAGUUCAGUAAAGGUCUGUGUGGCAAAUGAGAGUUUCGCUAAAUAGUACUUCACUAAAAUUUUAUUGAAACUCAGUUAUUGAAGGAGUUUAAAUUGAACGAUCCCCGACCGCUACUUUUGUGUAUCAUCCUAAAUCAGUUUUUAUUUUUAUUUUAGAAAAUGAAAAUGGUUAUUUUAAAUGCUCAAGCGAUAAACUAGGUUAUCUCAAAGCAUUUGCAUUGCUUUAAUUGAUUACUUUUGGACUAGACCUUGCAGAGUGAGGUCCUAAAAGAUCCUAGAUAGCAUAUUGAGCUUUGCAUUAAAGGAUCAAAACUCGACAUAGAUUUCAUCUAAUUCCAAAUAAUACUAAUUUUUAAAAUAAAUUCAUGUUGCAGUUCCCUGGA